AGUGGGGGCUUGAGCCCUGUUUGUUUAUUGCACCAGCUGAAAUCUAGAUGAAAGGAGAAGUCUGGGAGUUGUGAAGUAAGGAAAUGUUCCUUCUCUUUGAAAAGCAAGGAAAUACUGGAAUUCUGUAGCUAUAGAUAGCUGAGACCUGACCAUGGAGUUGGGGGGAAAAGGUAGGUUACCUUAUUUGGACUUGCAGCCUUGUAAAGGAGAGGAGAUGUAGACUGGAAUAACACUAGUGACAGGCCCUGGAUCUCUGCUCUACAUUCAUUUAUCACCUGAAGGUGAUCUGUUGUGGAAUAUUCUGAUUAAUGGCUCGUCUGUUCUCUUGGAAGGUUGGAAUCCAGCAUUAGAGUGGGCUGCUUGCUCAAUAUCUUAAGGUACGUUUGCACUCCUUAUGGCCAUCCUGCGCGCCUACUGUAUGUGUGAUACAAAUCUGAAGACGUUUGCCAAAUCUCCCAGUCCCAGGCAAUAUACCAGCUAAAUAAACAUGGAUUGAAAAGUGCAAUUCUACUUUGAAAUAGGGCUCUCUAAAAAUGGCAUUACCAACAGACAUUCCUGAAACAACGUUGGACCAAUUGUGCUGCAUUUACACAUGAAAAGAUUUUUGUUUUUUUUCUAACAUCAAGCCCUGUAAACUCUGCCUGGACUCUGAGAGUUAAGCUGGGUUCUCAUUCUUGCGGAUCAUUGCUAGUAAUGAAGGUUUUGCAAACCAAAUUAGUCCCUGUGUAAUACCAAUGCAAUCCCUUUUACCCUCAUUGGUCAUAAGGAAUUAUGUUAAUGCAUAAGGUGGAGUAGAAUCCAUCUGCCUUCUCUCCCGCUCCGCUCCUCUCCCCCCCCUCCCCCAAUGAAUUCUGCUUGGCUUACAAAAAUACCAUUUUAAAAACUUAUACAAAGUGAGUAGAUUUGAGGAAGGUGGUGUCAUUUUUAGACAGCCAUUUUGCAAAAAAAAAUUGUUUAAUUUUAAAUAUUUAAGCCAUUUCUUAGGUUGAAGACCUUUCAAUCUAAAGUGCUCUUUGAAAAGGUCAGAUCUAAACACAGUUCAGAUGCAGAUCAGAACUCUGCCAAUGGAAUCCAUCCCUAGAAACAAGUCUUUUUAGAAUAAUAAUUUUGUUCAACUCUCUGAUAGAGGCAGCUUAUCUAAAAUGGGGAUUUGUGGCUCUCAAGAUGCUGUUUUUCAAGCCAAAAUCUGCCAAGCACAAGGACAGUGGUGGGUGGGAAAGGCCUGGUAUGUUAUGCUAAAGACUAAAACUGUAAAUAUGUAAUACUCAAUGCAAACAGCUGUUGCCUUGGUGACAAGACAAACUCAAACUGACAUCAUGAGACAUUAUUAGAUUUCUUUCCAAGGUACAUGUGAGCUUGCUUGGCAAUUAUCCUAUCGGGCGGGCACCAUGUGGAGUAUGAUGGGAACCUGCACAGCCAUUGCUUGCGGAAGUGGCUGCCCAG